AAUAAGAUCAUUUUUCAAUUUUUUGAUACAAUGUUUUGACUCUUCGUUUUAUUUUUUUACGAUUAAUAUUUUUAUUCUUACUUGAUGAUAAAACAUGAAUAGUACUUUAUGCGUGACUAACUUUUUUUAAGUUUUUUUUACAAAAUUUUUAAAUAAGACGAAUGGUCAAACGUUAGACAUGUAAAAAC
rnacentral:pre_miRNA from 1 species